rnacentral:tRNA from 1 species
GCUCGGUUAGCUCAGUUGGUUAGAGCGUGGUACUAAUACUGUGUAACACACUGUAUAAAGUAAUGCCAAGGUCAUGAGUUCGACCCUCAUACUGAGCA